GUUCCCUCUGGGGAUAUCUGAUAAAAUUGGAACGAUAUAGAGAAGAAUAUUAGCAUGACCCCUGCAUAAGGAUGACACGUACAAAUAGCUCUAUCGGAAACAACCUCUCU
rnacentral:snRNA from 1 species